rnacentral:siRNA from 1 species
CAUAUAUACCUUGUCCACCUGGGA